UACGAAGGGGGCUAGCGUUGUUCGGAAUUACUGGGCGUAAAGCGUGCGCAGGCGGCUUCUCAAGUCAGGGGUGAAAGCCCAGAGCUCAACUCUGGAACUGCCUUUGAGACUGAGUGGCUUGAGUACGGGAGAGGUGAGUGGAAUUCCCAGUGUAGAGGUGAAAUGCGCAGAUAUCAGGAAGAACACCCGUGGCGAAGGCGGCUCUCCGGGACGGUACUGACGCUGAGACGCGAAAGCGUGGGGAGCGAACAGG
rnacentral:rRNA from 1 species